UCUCCCACUCAAAGUUCAAGAAUAAGAGGUUUGGCAACAACAACUACAAAGGAAGCACUUCAACUGGUACUUCAACAUCUGUUGUGAGGUCUGACAACAUUAAGUUUAAAAAUAAACCUGCAGGUGGCCUGAAGUGUUUCUUUUGCAAGAAACCUGGCCACUUUAAGAAAGAUUGUGAGGGUUUCAAAGUUUGGCUAACUAAAAGAGGGAUUAUCAAGGAUAACAAUCCCAAAUAAGAAUGAAACAAGGGUGUGUUCUGGAAAUGGUCAAAGAGUAGCUGUGAAGGCUAUAGGAGUUGUCAAGUUGUUGUUUAGGAAUAAUUAUGUAUUAGAACUAAAUAAUGUGUAUUGUAUUCCUAGUAUAAAGAGAAACCUCAUAUCAGGUUCUCAAUUUGUUGCUAACAAUGGUUAUAGUUUCUCUAGUGAUAAUAAAUUAAUGUUGCUUUAUUA